AGAGUUUGAUCCUGGCUCAGGAUGAACGCUGGCGGCGUGCCUAAUACAUGCAAGUCGAGCGAACAGACGAGGAGCUUGCUCCUCUGACGUUAGCGGCGGACGGGUGAGUAACACGUGGAUAACCUACCUAUAAGACUGGGAUAACUUCGGGAAACCGGAGCUAAUACCGGAUAAUAUAUUGAACCGCAUGGUUCAAUAGUGAAAGACGGUUUUGCUGUCACUUAUAGAUGGAUCCGCGCCGCAUUAGCUAGUUGGUAAGGUAACGGCUUACCAAGGCAACGAUGCGUAGCCGACCUGAGAGGGUGAUCGGCCACACUGGAACUGAGACACGGUCCAGACUCCUACGGGAGGCAGCAGUAGGGAAUCUUCCGCAAUGGGCGAAAGCCUGACGGAGCAACGCCGCGUGAGUGAUGAAGGUCUUCGGAUCGUAAAACUCUGUUAUUAGGGAAGAACAAAUGUGUAAGUAACUAUGCACGUCUUGACGGUACCUAAUCAGAAAGCCACGGCUAACUACGUGCCAGCAGCCGCGGUAAUACGUAGGUGGCAAGCGUUAUCCGGAAUUAUUGGGCGUAAAGCGCGCGUAGGCGGUUUUUUAAGUCUGAUGUGAAAGCCCACGGCUCAACCGUGGAGGGUCAUUGGAAACUGGAAAACUUGAGUGCAGAAGAGGAAAGUGGAAUUCCAUGUGUAGCGGUGAAAUGCGCAGAGAUAUGGAGGAACACCAGUGGCGAAGGCGACUUUCUGGUCUGUAACUGACGCUGAUGUGCGAAAGCGUGGGGAUCAAACAGGAUUAGAUACCCUGGUAGUCCACGCCGUAAACGAUGAGUGCUAAGUGUUGGAGGGUUUCCGCCCUUCAGUGCUGCAGCAAACGCAUUAAGCACUCCGCCUGGGGAGUACGACCGCAAGGUUGAAACUCAAAGGAAUUGACGGGGGCCCGCACAAGCGGUGGAGCAUGUGGUUUAAUUCGAAGCAACGCGAAGAACCUUACCAGGUCUUGACAUCCUUUGACCACUCUAGAGAUAGAGCUUUCCCUUCGGGGACAAAGUGACAGGUGGUGCAUGGUUGUCGUCAGCUCGUGUCGUGAGAUGUUGGGUUAAGUCCC
rnacentral:rRNA from 1 species